rnacentral:piRNA from 1 species
UGGGCAAGAUAGACUGGAUCAGGC